rnacentral:tRNA from 1 species
CCGUAGCUCAGUUGGUAGAGCAACGCAUUCGUAAUGCGUGGGUCGGGGGUUCAAAUCCCUCCGGUG